rnacentral:misc_RNA from 1 species
ACUCUAAAGAUUCAUUUGGCCUAAAGAAGACAAAUUUAAGUUCCACAUCAGUACCACAAAAUUAUGGUAGAGACAAUUCAACCAGCAGCUUUAUUGAUUCUAUUUUAACUAUACUGCCUUAAGUUCUUAAGAUUUUCAACUAGUUGCUUUGCGUUCAACUUUAUUUACCAAGUAAUGAUUUAUUUUAAUACAUGUCCUGCACAUCCAUUAAGUUCCCAGAGAAAAAGCAAGGCCCAACAUUGUGAUCAUUUCUCUGAAUUGCAAAAUAUACCAGGGAUCAGAAAAACAAAAAAAAAAAA